GACAGAGGCCUCAAGCGUUAGGCGGAAUCACUGGGCUUAAAGCGUGUGUAGGCGGAUCGUUAAGUGUCUUGUGAAAUCCCACGGCUCACCCGUGGAACGGGCUGGGCAUACUGGCGAUCUUGGGCCAACUAGGGGCAACUGGAACAAGCGGUGGAGCGGUGAAAUGCGUAGAUAUCGCUUGGAACGCCAAAGGUGAAAACAGGGUUGCUGGGGGUUGUGCCGGACGCU
rnacentral:rRNA from 1 species